CUACGUGCCAGCAGCCGCGGUAAUACGUAGGUGGCAAGCGUUGUCCGGAAUUAUUGGGCGUAAAGCGCGCGCAGGCGGAUUGGUCAGUCUGUCUUAAAAGUUCGGGGCUUAACCCCGUGAUGGGAUGGAAACUGCCAAUCUAGAGUAUCGGAGAGGAAAGUGGAAUUCCUAGUGUAGCGGUGAAAUGCGUAGAUAUUAGGAAGAACACCAGUGGCGAAGGCGACUUUCUGGACGAAAACUGACGCUGAGGCGCGAAAGCCAGGGGAGCGAACGGGAUUAGAUACCCCGGUAGUCCUGGCCGUAAACGAUGGGUACUAGGUGUAGGAGGUAUCGACCCCUUCUGUGCCGGAGUUAACGCAAUAAGUACCCCGCCUGGGGAGUACGACCGCAAGGUUGAAACUCAAAGGAAUUGACGGGGGCCCGCACAAGCGGUGGAGUAUGUGGUUUAAUUCGAAGCAACGCGAAGAACCUUACCAAAUCUUGACAU
rnacentral:rRNA from 1 species